rnacentral:rRNA from 1 species
UAGGGAAUCUUCCACAAGGGACGCAAGGCUGAUGGAGCAACGCCGCGGGAGUGAAGAAGGUUGUCGGAUCGUAAAGCUCUGGGGUGGGUGAAGAAGGAUAGAGGCAGGAACUGGUCUUUAUGGGACGGGAAUCAACCAGAAAGGCACGGCUAACGACGUGCCAGCAGCCGCGGUAAUACGUAGGUGGCAAGCGUUGUCCGGAUUUAUUGGGCGUAAAGCGAGCGCAGGCGGAAUGAUAAGUCUGAUGUGAAAGCCCACGGCUCAACCGUGGAACUGCAUCGGAAACUGUCAUUCUUGAGUGCAGAAGAGGAGAGUGGAAUUCCAUGUGUAGCGGUGGAAUGCGUAGAUAUAUGGAAGAACACCAGUGGCGAAGGCGGCUCUCUGGUCUGCAACUGACGCUGAGGCUCGAAAGCAUGGGUAGCGAACAGG